rnacentral:piRNA from 2 species
UCUUACAACCUCCAGAAGUGCCUGUUCCCC